rnacentral:lncRNA from 1 species
ACUGCAUGCUUUACAUGACAUGGCACAGCUUCCACGCCAGCAGCUUCAAUCAUGUAAAGCGAAUGCAGUCCCAUCAAGACCACAGCAUUGGCUGAGCAGCUACUCCAUGCUGGGCACCGUCCUGGGCACUGGAAGUACAGCAGAGAACGAAACCAAGACCACACCCUCCAGAAGCCUGCAUUCCAGCAGGACAGACAGACUUCCAUACACAGAGCAGGAAAAUGCACAGCGUGUCAGAUGAUGAUGAUUACUAUGAGAAAAAUAAAGCAGGCAAAGAGAACAGGACUAUUUGGAUGAGGGUGGUGCAAAUUCAAAUAAUCAGACAGCCUUUGCUGGGAAGGUGAUAUCUGAGCAAAGAUUCGAGAAGGUGGGGAGAGCCCCGGAGCCUUCCCCGCAGAGCAGAGGAGGCCCGGGAAGCUCUGGACUCAUAGCGGUUCAGCACGGCCACGACACGGCCACUUCCAGACAGAGCCCCUGGCUGCUGGGUAGGGACCGCAGCACCUCAGAGAACCCUUUCUGGGGUCACUUCUGGCACCCUCUGCAAACCUCAAGGGGGAGCGUGAGGCUGGGGGCUGUCCAUCAGGGUCCAGGCACCUCCUGAAGGAACCUCUCAAAGCCAGCCGAUCACCGGCUCCAGACCCACGCUGUCAGACAUCUCUGUGGCCACCAGACCACUGCCACUCUCACGGGUGUGAUGACAUGGGACCUGCCUACUGGUAGUCUUCUGCCUUCGUGGAAUUCUGCAACUUCCUUCCUGCCUCGGCCACAGCAUGUCAGCCAAGCACCUGUCAGGGUCCCUCCCUGGCAGGACGAUGUUUAGAAGCUCAACACCUUGCUCCUGCCUCCUCUUCAGACCCAUCAGAACUUGCUACCAUGGGUGUGUUUUAAUAAAUAACUUCAUUUCUGCAGCAAAUAAAUAAAUAAAUAAAUGUAGUUGCAAUAUUGCCUUUAAAAGCACUUUUAAGCAUCAAUUGUGAAAUAAAAAGCCCGAGCAAAAGCCCUCUUUGAGCGUGAAGUGUCUAAACGUUUAUUUGUACUACUAUUGUUGUAAAGGGUAGAUUUUGUAGCAUUUUGAGGUGGUGAUUCAACUGCAUUAACAGCAUCCCGAGACCGCCUGCCACGAUCUGGAGGAAACGCACGGCCAGGGCCCACGUGCAGGGUAGGGUCCUGCCAGGCUCCCAAAACGCCCCGUCCCAGCACUCAGUCCCAUGGAGGCAGCACAGCCUCAGGGAGGCCAGCGACUCUGGGCCUGCGGGUGAGUCCUUCAGCCCCUGCACAGCCCAAUCCAUCUGCCACCCACUUGGUGACCCCAAAUUGUAGUAAGUCAACACUUCCAGUUACUCAACAGCUUCUGAAAUUUAAAUCUCUGGAACAAUUUACAGUAAUAAGACCCUAGGUGCACCUGUCUACUAUCCUUGUCCUCCCUAAUGAAAUGGGCUAGGCGUGGUGGCUCAUGCCUGUAAUCUCCCAUUUUGGGAGGCCAAGGCAGGAGAACUGCUUGAGCCCAGGUGUUGGGAGACCAGCCUGGGUAACAUGGCGAGACCUCACAUCUAAUAAAAAAAAAAAAAAUCUGCUGGCUGUGGUGGCGCACACCUGUAAUCCCAGCUGAAGUGGGAG